UACGGAGGGUGCAAGCGUUAUCCGGAUUUACUGGGUUUAAAGGGUGUGUAGGCGGACUUUUAAGUCAGCGGUGAAAUCUCCGGGCUCAACCCGGAAACUGCCAUUGAUACUAUUAGUCUUGAAUGUUGUUGAGGUGGGCGGAACGGGUCAUGUAGCGGUGAAAUGCAUAGAUAUGACCCGGAACACCGAUUGCGAAGGCAGCCCACUAAGCAACUAUUGACGCUGAGGCACGAAAGCGUGGGGGAUCAAACAGG
rnacentral:rRNA from 1 species